rnacentral:rRNA from 1 species
CGUAACCGCGAACGGCUCUGUAAAACAGUCAUGAUUUAUGAGGGCGCAUGACAGUUGGAUAACUGUGGAAAACCUAGAGCUAAUACAUGUAAAAAUGUCCUGCCUUUAUCGAAGGGACGCAUUCAUCAAAUGAAAGCCAUCCUCGCUUCGGCGAGAAACGAGAUGAAUCUGGGUGAACUAUCGAUUGUACGGCUCUUUGAGCUGACGACUAUAAUUGUAAGCGUCUGACCUAUCAACUUUUGAUGGUGGUAUAUCUUACUGCCAUGGUUGUAACGGGUAACGGGGAAUCAGGGUUCGAUUCCGGAGAGAGAGCCUGAGAAACGGCUGUCACAUCUACGGAAGGCAGCAGGCGCGCAAAUUACCCAAUCCCCGAUCGGGGAGGUAGUGACGAGAAAUGACAGUGCCGUAAUCAGAUGAUUCGGCUACUGAAUUGAGAACGAUGAAAGAAUGUUAUCGAAUAUCUAUUGGAGGGCAAGUCUGGUGCCAGCAGCCGCGGUAAUUCCAGCUCGAAGAGCGUCUGUUAAUGUUGCUGCGCUUGAAACGCUCGUC